GAAGCCCCUCUCGGCCGUUGGUGCUCAGAGCCGUUUUCCACUGGGAUUAGAAAAGAACAGCAGAGUCUUGUCGUGGGACAUCCGUCCUGCCACAGCCUUCCCGGCAGAGCCAGCCACCCUGCGGCCCACCUUCCUCUUCUGAGAAGCCCCUCUCGGCCGUUGGUGCUCAGAGCCGUUUUCCACUGGGAUGAGAAAAGAACCGGAGAGUCUUGCCCACGGGACAUCUGUCCUGCCACGGCCUUCCCGGCAGAGCCAGCCACCCUGCGGCCACAGCCAAGCCAAGGCAAGCCCCACCUCCUUACCCCAAGAGCUUGCAGAGGGGAGGAGGUGGUGGUGGCUUUGCUCAGAGCCUCUCUGGGCUUUGGAGAGAGUUUCUCUCCAGGUGGAUAUCAAUUAAAAGUGACUUCAGAGCAGAGCCAGCCCCCCUGCGGCCACAGCCAAGCCAAGCCCCACCUCCUUACCCCAAGAUCUUGCAGAGGGGAGAAGGUGGUGGUGGCUUUGCUCAGAGCCUCUCUGGGCUUUGGAGAGAGUUUCUCUCCAGGUGGAUAUCAAUUAAAAGUGACUUCAGACUGGCAGAGUGCUUGGUUUAGAACACUGGUUCUUAACCUUGGGUUACUCAGGGGUUUUGGACUGCAACUCCCAGAAGCCUUCACCACCAACUGUGCUGGCUGGGGUUUCUGGGAGUUGCAGUUCAAAAACAUCCGAGUAACAAAGGUUAAGAACCACUGGUUUAGAAGACCAAAGCAUUCGAACCAGAGAUGGGGGCGAGAGAGAGGGGUAGCACUUCAAAGACUCGAAGGGUGGUCCUGCAGAGAAGGGGGCAGGAUCUGCUCUCGGGCAUCCCAGAGUGCAGGAUGGGCAACCAUGGGCUCAAGUUACAGGAAGCCGGAUUUGGGUAGAAUAUCAGGGGGAAACUUCCUAACUGUUAAAGAGGGAGGGGUAGCGUUUUUCAAAGACUCGAAGGGUGGUCCUGCAGAGAAGGGGCCAGGAUCUGCUCUCGGGCAUCCCAGAGUGCAGGAUGGGCAACCAUGGGCUCAAGUUACAGGAAGCCGGAUUUGGGUAGAAUAUCAGGGGGAAACUUCCUAA
rnacentral:lncRNA from 1 species